rnacentral:rRNA from 1 species
CAGUAGCCGCGGGAAUACGGAGGGUGCAAGCGUUAAUCGGAAUUGCUGGGCGUAAAGCGUGCGUAGGCGGUUCGUUAAGUCUGUUGUGAAAGCCCCGGGCUCAACCUGGGAAUGGCAAUGGAUACUGGCGAGCUAGAGUGUGUCAGAGGAUGGUGGAAUUCCCGGUGUAGCGGUGAAAUGCGUAGAGAUCGGGAGGAACAUCAGUGGCGAAGGCGGCCAUCUGGGACAACACUGACGCUGAGGCACGAAAGCGUGGGGAGCAAACAGGAUUAGAUACCCCCGUAGUCCUGUCUCUUAUACA